AUGACUUUGAUCUGCGUCCUCAUCUGGACUCUCCUCUGCUGCUGCUUCACAGAGUCCAGAGGACAGAUCACAGUGACUCAGCCUGGAGCAGUGAGCUCUGCUGUGGGAGGAUCUGUCAGCAUCAAGUGUAGGACCAGUCAGAAUGCUUAUAGCAAUUUAGCCUGGUACAAACAAAAAGAUGGAGAAUCUCCCAAACUGCUCAUUUACUUUGCUAGCACUCGAGAAUCAGGGAUUCCAGCUCGUUUUACAGGCAGUGGAUCAAACUCUGACUUCACUCUGACCAUCAGUGGAGUCCAGGCUGAAGAUGCAGCAGUUUAUUACUGUCAGAGUUAUCAUGAGAUCAGCAGUCAGAGUGUGUUCACACAGUGA